GCCAAUCCUGCUUUGAGAAUCCACAGUAUACGUGUUGAUCUUGCAUGGUUUCAGGCCACAGCUUUUGGUUAUUGCCAGUAUGGACUCUUGGUUUAUGCUGUUGAAGAAGAAACUGUUGAUAAUAUUGAUGGCAGUAAGCAAACCGAACAAGAGUCACGGUAAUGGUUUUUCAUGUGUACUCGAGUGUAGUUGCCAUUGGAUCUGUUAGGCUUCAUGUUUUUGACCUCACAACUAGUCAUUAUCACUAGUUCUGCAUCAACUAUGUUACCUAUAUUCACAUUGUCAUGCAUGCAUAUAAAUGUGCACAUACAUUUGAUAUUCAUUGGAAUUUGACAUGGUUUUUUUCUAACCUCAUGUUUAUCAGUAUGAAAGGUGCUUACAGAGGAAAUCCAUCUGGUCAUUUGGGAGUAGAUACACUUUCAAGGCAAGCGCCCGGAAACGGUGAAAGUUAUAGAAGGCGGAAAAAGAGUUAUGGGGGGAGUAUAGAUACUAAUACUUUACAAAUGCUUGAAGAGAAG
rnacentral:misc_RNA from 1 species